rnacentral:misc_RNA from 1 species
GUGAAUCAUCGAAUCUUCGAACGCACAUUGCACUCUCUGGUAUUCCGGAGGGUAUGCCUGUUUGAGGGUCAGUUUAACUCACAAUCGGUGUGGUUGCUGCCUGUCGUGGUGACGCACCGGCUUUGGGUCGUCUUGCCUUCGGUUAAGUGGCCUACAAUUUUGCACGAUUUUUUUCGAACGUAUUUAAAUGAUUUUA